rnacentral:lncRNA from 1 species
GACGCAAAGGCACAGACAUCCAGACGCAGCUGCAGUCGUCUUGCCUCGCUGCAGCCUGCUGAGCUUGCUGAGCCUGCCGAGCAGCCGCACUGAAGACCUCAGGACCCUUGCCAGCACUGGAGAUCUGAGAUCGUCAGGUGUGCCUUUCCCACUCUCUGCUCCAGCCUGGCCUGCUGCCCCAGCCCCUGACAUCCCAUCACGCCGAUUCUCUGGCUGCUUGGCACCUGUGUUUAUUUACUUUCUUACUAUCCACACUUGAUUGGAAGGAAGAAAGGGAAAGUUUUUAAAAAAUGCCCAUCGCACAGUUGCUGGAACUAUGGAAGAAGAUCGAGGUGGAACCCAUGGAGACAGAGACCGCCGAAGAGGAACUCGCCUUGGAUGUUGAGCCCACCCCAGAAGAUACCACAGAAGAAAGACUGCUGAUGCCUCAUCUCUGCCUUGCCGCAUAGAAUGGAUUCUGAUCAGAGCCUGAGCUGUGAAUCUGUUCCUUUCAUCGCUUCUAAGCUUCCUUUUCAUCCUUCAUGGAGAUAUUUGUGACUCUGUGAACCCGGGGGCUCUACACCAUGGAUUCAACCAAAUGGACUGAAAACACCUGAGAAACCACAUCUGUAACCAAAUGUGUACAGAAUAUUUCGAUAUAAUUUUCCUGAAAAUAUGCAGCCU